CGGCUGCUAUAUGCUGAUCUGUAUAUCUCGAUGUACGUUUAGUACGUAUGUAUAGCUUCUUAUCGAUAAGCUCCAUUCAUUUGUUUUAUAAACCGUAUUUUUCUAUCAUUAGCAGUGUUUUUCUUUUAUAAUAAAUUAAUGAAUAGUAUUUUCAGCAAUGAUUUUUAGACAAGCGAACAAACUCUACUGUCUGUCUUUUUUCUGCACCAAUGAAUGGAUCGAUGACCCAUGCGCCGUGCAGUGCGGUGACGAACCAAUGGAAGGGCCCUGGGAAGCUGCUGAAAGAACUAGCGUCUCUAACAAUGUCACUUUAGUUAGCUAAUAAAAAUUUAUAUCAGUAUUUUCUUAAUAUGAAAGAGAGAUGAUUCAAAAGAGAAAAGAUUAUCUUUUAUCUCAACGCUUUGAAAACGAGGUAGAGGUAGUUUAUGGGUCUACUCAUAAAGAGUAAGAGAGGGAGGAGAGAAGAUAUAGAAUAAAAAAUUAUUUAUAUGUGGGAUUCACAUAAUGAAGUGACAAUGACAUAGUAUAUACUCCAAUAAGCUAGGCCUUGUUUAGUUCUAAAUUUUUUUGUAAAAUGGGCACUGUAGCAUUUUCGUUUAUAUUUGACAAAUAUUAUCCAAUUAUGGACUAACUAGGCUUAAAAGAUUUAUCUCGUAAUUACAGACAAAUUGUAUAAUUAGUUAUUAUUUUUAUCUAUGUUUAAUGCUCAAUGCAUGUGGUGUAAGAUUUUAUGUGAUGGGAAAUCUGAAAUUUUUUGCAAAACUUUAACAAGGCCCUAGUUGUUGUCUCGUACUAUUGAGGACACGGACGUCCUUAAUGAUAUUAGCGACGUAGCUAAUUUAUAUGGAGAUGAGAGACAAGAGUAAAGACUAUUUUAUGUAUGUUUAUUUUCUAUGUACUAUUAGACCUACAUGUCAUUCUUUAGAUUUUUGAACUACGUGAAAUAGAUAGGCUAUUUGCUUAUCGCUAGUUUUUUCUUAUCCAUGUCAUAAUAGCUAGCCAAAUAGCUAAUUAUUGGGGACGCGCUACAUCGGUAAUGGUGCUAGCUACGUAGCUAGCUUAUGUGGAGGUGAAAGACAAGAGCAAAGACUAUUUUAUAUAUGUUUAUUUUUUAUAUAUUAUUAGACUCAUAUGUUACUCUCUUAGAUUCUUAGACUAUAUAAAAUAGAUAAGCUAUUUAUUUGUCGCUAGUAAUUACUCUCUUUAUUACUUUUUAUCUAUCCAUGUCAUAAUAAUUAGCCAAAUAGCUGGCAUUGAAGACACCCUAAUGCGGCUACUGUGCCUGUCCACCCCCGAGUCGUGAAUCUAUGCUUUGUCAGGCCUGUUUAGUUAUGAAAAGUUUUUGGUUUUCAAUAUUGUAGUAUUUUUAUUUUUAUUUAGCAAAUAUUAUCUAAUCAUAGACUAACUAGGCUUAAAAGAUUCAUCUCGCGAUUUACAGAUAAACUGUGUAAUUAUUUUUUGUUUUUAUUUAUAUUUAAUGUAUCAUACAUGUGCCGCAAGCUAAAUUUAAUGUAACGGGAAAUUUUUGGUCUUUAGUUGAACAUAAACAAGGCCUGACUCAGGUGGGUGGAUACUGUACAUACGGCUUGCAGCACGUACUACGGCUCAUUUAAGCGCUCAAUCUCAGCAUGCAUGACAUUAUGGGCUUCGUUUGUUUGCGAAUUUUUUUUGGGUUUGACUACUAUUGCACUUUUGUUUGUAUUUGAUAAUUAUUAUCUAACUAUAGACUAAUUAGAUUUAAAAAAUUCGUCUCGUAAAUUACAGACAAACUAUAUAAUUAAUUAUUUUUUAUCUAUAUUUAAUACUCUGCAUACGCCCAAUGAUCCGAUAUAAUAAAAAAUCUUAAAAUUUUUAGAACCAGAUGCAAGAUAUACCAAGCAAAGCAUGCAUUCAUAUAUACCAAGCAUCACUUCCCCUCCACAGGUUUUAACAAGUAUUUCCUCGGUUCACAAAUAAAUGUACGUUUUGUUUUCUAAGGAAUCAAAUUUUUUAAAGUUUAACUAAAUUUUUUUAGAUGAAAGGUUUCCCCUGCUUUUGUAUUUCAAAAAGUAACAACUUCAGGUUCAUACAAAGUUUAAACGCACAUUUGCGUCAAAUAGCAAACAAACAAGGUUUCAACCCCAAGACUCAACUCAUACCUUCAUCUCUAACCGAAUCACUCUUGGCAAACACUGAAGGCCGAGCAUCCAAUUGAUCCAACUGUGUUGAUGAAGUCCUUGUAAUCCCUUCCUUCCGAUCUAUCAACGUUGGACAUCUUGAUAACUCCUCCAACUUGAUGAUCAGGUUUUCCAGUCGCUUCCCAGCUUCCUCCUUGUACAACGGCAACUAACCCCUUAACAUCCUUGAGUAUUACAUAUGAUAACUAUUAGUGUAUUUUUGUAUAUAUUUGAUUAAACUUUAAAAAAUUUAAGACGUGCAUAUCUAGGUGGUCAAUCCGGUGAACACGACAGCGGUAGAGCAGUGCACUGUUUUGCUGCUACUGUUCACGGUGCUGUUUAUCACCGUACGUCCAAUCCUUGCCUGCACUGCUGUCACACCCAUAUUUUAAGAACAAAAUAGGAUGCAUAAAAGACUCAUAUGUGCCCCAGAAACAGUCGCACACAUAAGCAGACAAAUCUCAAAUGUACCAUCGCAGUGUUUAUUACAUAGCGGAAUAUAAAAUAUCACAUGGUCUCAUACAAAAAUGAUAACAUAAAGUAAACAACGCUCUCGACGGAAGCUCCACACAGGGACACUGUUGACUGGUUGACUCCAAACCUAGUACUCAUAACGGUAAUCCUCAUUCCAGUCAUCUUCGUUAUCAUAUCCUGAGGUGUUGGGAAAUUGCAAGAGUGAGCACAUAUCGUACUCAACAAGUAUAAUCAGGGGUUCAUGAGGCUCAAAUAGCUGACACUGGUUUGACUGCAUUUAGCUUUUAAUAGUGGAUAGCAUGUUCAUAAUUAAAUAGCAAUUCUCAAGGU
rnacentral:lncRNA from 1 species